UGGAGAGUUUGAUCCUGGCUCAGGACGAACGCUGGCGGCGUGCUUAACACAUGCAAGUCGAACGAUGAUGCCAGCUUGCUGGUGGAUUAGUGGCGAACGGGUGAGUAACACGUGAGCAACCUGCCCCUGACUUCGGGAUAACCGCGGGAAACCGUGGCUAAUACCGGAUAUGACGCRCUACCGCAUGGUGGUGUGUGGAAAGAUUUAUCGGUUGGGGAUGGGCUCGCGGCCUAUCAGCUUGUUGGUGGGGUGAUGGCCUACCAAGGCGACGACGGGUAGCCGGCCUGAGAGGGUGACCGGCCACACUGGGACUGAGACACGGCCCAGACUCCUACGGGAGGCAGCAGUGGGGAAUAUUGCACAAUGGGCGCAAGCCUGAUGCAGCGACGCCGCGUGAGGGAUGACGGCCUUCGGGUUGUAAACCUCUUUCAGUAGGGAAGAAGGCCUUCGGGUUGACGGUACCUGCAGAAGAAAGCGCCGGCUAACUACGUGCCAGCAGCCGCGGUA
rnacentral:rRNA from 1 species